UUCUUAUCCAGAGAGACUGAGGGACAGGCCCAAUGAAGUCUCGGCAGCGGGUUAUUAACAUAAUACCGUGCCAAUUCCUGCAAAUGUACUUACAUUUGAAAGAUGAGAA
rnacentral:ncRNA from 2 species